rnacentral:misc_RNA from 1 species
CUUUUUUUUUUUCCCUUUUUCUUUUCUGGGGAUCCUCGUUUCGUUUUUCUGUUUCCCAUCCAUAGGACUUUGGGCUAUACAUCAUCUCUACUUUACUAAGUUAUAGUAUUCGGAAAUUCUAAAUCCUAAGCCAACCAAAUAUGAAUACCAUUUACAAAUAUACUGCUCCCCACGCACCAAACGGACAACCAGUCAAAACACUCACCAUGAUAAAUCAAAACAAAUAUUAGAAACCCCCCCGCAACUUCUGGAAUAAAUCUCCCCCUUUCCCAUUUGCACUGUUAGAUGGUUUCUUCAUCGUCAUCCAGGAAUUCAUCCUUGAUAAACAAACCAAGUCGUUGUAAUGGGUUUUCCAACUGGCCAUCGUCUGAUGACCUUUUCACCAUUGCACGGCGAUGUUGGACAAAUAAGAAUCCUCCACUGAGCUUUUCCAGCUCCUUUAGAAUCUCAAGAUUUUGGUCGAGAUCAACAGUUCUUUCAAUCUUCUGAAGAGCAAUGCGGGCAGCUUCUCUGUCUCUUUCUCGCUGCUGUUUCUUCUCAGCCUCUACUUUUAAUCGCAAGGCCAUGUCAGCAGCCUUUAUUUGUGCUUCUAUACGUUCUCUCUCUUCACGCUGCCUCCUUUCUAAUCUCUCCUUCUCUUGUUGAAUCUUCAGUUGAUCAACUUUAUCGCCCAGAUCAAGAAGUGUCUUCUGUUGUGCUUUCAAAAUAGUUUCAGCAAAGCGACUCUUCAGCAUUGCAGCACGAAGAGCCUUUUUCGGUGAAAGUUGUACAUCAAAAAUUGGGGUAGAGCACACUUCGGAAGUAGAAUUUGCCCCAAGGGUUAAAGACUGAUCAUAAGGUGGUUUUCCUUCAUCCUCCAAAGCACUUCUAAUCCCAUCAGAAUCCAUAUCUGACUUGGACGCAUGGGAAGCUGACAAGCUACUUGUUUGAGAAUCCCGUCUGCAAAGAUCAUUGACAUCUGGAUUUUCUCCACCAGAGGAUGCAUGGCCUAAAUUGGAAGAAGAGCUGCAGAGACAUGGCAUGCUACCACAUCCCGUACACUUAUGUCUUGG